GCCAAUGUGGUGUAGUGGUUUGAGUGCUGGACUAGGACUCCAGGAAACCAGGGUUCAAGUCCCUGCUUAGCUG
rnacentral:tRNA from 1 species